UGGGGAAUAUUGGGGCAAUGGGGCGAAAGCCUGACCCAGCAACGCCGCGUGAAGGAAGAAGGUCUUCGGAUUGUAAACUUCUUUUAUCAGGGACGAAGGAAGUGACGGUACCUGAUGAAUAAGCCACGGCUAACUACGUGCCAGCAGCCGCGGUAAUACGUAGGUGGCGAGCGUUAUCCGGAUUUACUGGGUGUAAAGGGCGCGUAGGCGGGGAUACAAGUCAGGUGUGAAAUCUAUGGGCUUAACCCAUAAACUGCACUUGAAACUGUAUCUCUUGAGUGUCGGAGA
rnacentral:rRNA from 1 species